CACAUCGGCUCUAAGCCCCCCCUCUCUUCCCAUCUUCUCGACCGAGCGGGGAAGCGCGAGUCCAUGGCAGAAGAAGCCUCCUACCCCCUUCCCCUCCCUCCCCCACGUCUCGUCUCUCGUCUCUACCCCCCUUCUCUCUCAGCUCUAUCUCUCUCUCUCCUGCAUCUGAGCAUCGUCGGGUUCUAGAUCCAGCCACCCUCCAUCUACAGAUCCACAAGCUCAUGCUGUUCCCCCUCCGGCGGCGGCGGCGCUAGGAUUCAGCGUCCUUGGAGGAGACUAUUCCAAUGCUUACAGGCUGUGGACUAGGCGCAGAGGGAGCGGGACCAACGCCGCCGGUGAUGGACCGUACACGGACCCCCUACCUCCAGGCAGCCUUCUCCGCCGUGUUGUGCCCACGCGAGCAGAUGAGGUCCUACCUCGCGUGCUUGACGAUGCAGCACCUGCUCAGCCGCUGGACGUCCUCGCUGCUCAGGGUUUGGGCCAUGGAAGCUGUUGCUGGGCUACGAGGCUAGGGGGUUAGCCAAAAUGUUGGUCUCAAAAUCACAGAUAAGUGCUCCAAACUAAAUCCCCAACCCCUCUACUACUAAAGCCCUACGAAUUGGGGUUCAGAUAGUACUAAAUUUGUGGUGCGGUAAGGCCACGCCCUUUUGUGCUCUUGCCAAUGGUACCAGUUGUAAGACUUUGUGUAUACGAAUCUGACUUGAAUUGUUUGCCAAUUAAAUUACAGCAGAUGCUGUUACAGUGCUGCCGGAGGUUAAUAAACAUGGUGUUGACGCCAAGCACUUUUUCUAUCUUAGAUUCAGCUAGUAGGCGAAUGAACGGAAGUUCUCCAUGGGCGCUAGUGCUAUCUUGUUUGUUUUGUCAACUGAGGUAGUAAUGUAGUAUGCAUUUGAGAUCAGCUUGGCAAUACGAGGAAGAGAGAAGUCAUAUAAGAAAAGGGUAUAGCCUAGGGUGUGCUAAUGAAUAGAAUGCAACUGCAGGUUUUGUUAUAUGUACUUAAGCGAUUGCUCUGUCCCAUGAAUGUCCAUAGCAUGUUCUUCUCUGCCUCUAAGUUUGUUGUUCACAAAGUCCAGCCAAUUGGCCCAAGGGAUAUUAAUUACCACCAUUCAAUCACCAGCAUUCCCUGGGAUAUUAAUUAGUUGAAGGAAGCACUGAAAUAGAGACAUUAAGGGAUUGUGUUUUGUUACUUUUACUUCAGCUACUACCAGCUUAGUAAAAUUUUGAUAGAAAUUCAGGGAUUGUAGUUUUUUUAUUACUUUGAGUGAUUCUGUCCCUAUGCAAAGUAAUUCUGUUACUGCAUGGUGCUUCAUUCUGAAUGAUUAAUGGUUAGAAGAAUCUUAAGUGAUCAGAAUUAUUAAACUUAUGUCAUCCUGCAUAUAACUUGCUGAUUUUUGCAACUGCAAUACCUUUAUAGAAUGGAUAAAUACAUGCUUCCUGUUUUAACAAUGCUGCUCCUUUCUUGUGAUAACUUCUGCAGGAUUGGUUUGGCACAGACUUUUUAAUUGCUGAAGCUUUCAAUUUCGAUAUUGUUUCAUUUGUUAAGUUUGCAGAAGUAAUUAAACAUUUGAAAAUCUACAUAGCUUCAGGGAGUCAUGGCAGGAAUGGUACUUAUAACCAAAGCAAAUACUGUAACUUAGCAUGUGCGCUUGCAUGACUAGAAGUUACAAACAUAUGUAUAUCUGAUAUUUGGUUAAUGGUAGUGUUAUGGUACUUAUAGUUGUUGCCUUUCUUACCAGUUAAUUACAGAGAAUAGCAAUGGUCGACCACGAACAGAUGCACACUGUUUGGAACACUUGCUGUUUCUUUUCACAAGCUUGAUGAGUGGAAUCAGAGAGGUAGGGUUCAGCAGCACUUCGAGAGAAAACGGAUGACCAGCAAAGUGAGCUCGAAGACUUAAAGCUAAAGUUCCAGGAAUCUGAAGCAGCAAGGGAGAAUCAAAGGGGAGAGAUCGAAAGUUUGAAGAAGCAAGGAGAGGAAAGCAAUGCUACGGAGUCUAGAGAGUUGUUUUGGCUGUUCAGUGAACAUGUUAUGGAGUUACUUGUCUUUUUUGUUUUGACUUGACAAGUGAUGUUGGGUUGUGAUAUGCAUAUGAAUCUGGUGGUUUUUGGACAAGUGAUGACGGGCUGUACUAAAUAUUAUGUGAAGUGACCCGUUGUUUUGAAGGAAUGUGUUGUUUUGAAGU